rnacentral:rRNA from 1 species
UACGAGGGGGGCAAGCGUUGUUCGGAAUUAUUGGGCGUAAAGCGUGCGCAGGCGGUUUUGCAAGCCGGAUGUGAAAUCCCCGGGCUCAACCUGGGAAUGGCAUUCGGGACUGCAAGGCUGGAGUGCGGCAGAGGAGACUGGAAUUCCUGGUGUAGCAGUGAAAUGCGUAGAUAUCAGGAGGAAUACCGAUGGCGAAGGCAGGUCUCUGGGCUGACACUGACGCUCAUGCACGAAAGCGUGGGGAGCAAACAGG